rnacentral:lncRNA from 1 species
GUUUAUAGUAAGUGAGAUGGAGGAAAAAUAUUUAAAAAGCUAUAAGUAGAAGAGAUAUACUUUUGAUAUGAAAGGAUUUUGUAUGUUUGUCUUCUUAAAAGGAUAAAGAGACAGGACCAAAAAGCCUAGUGCUUUCCAGCUCAGAAUGUGGUCAGGCGUGAAGGUCAUGGCUGAAAUGGGAGAGGUUAAGAUAAUGAAGCUGGGGAUCCUCUGUUAGGGCCCCACCAUUCCAGAGGUGAGGAGAAGUCACACAGGAGCAGGAGGCUGGAGGAACACUCUGCUCCCCUCCCAGGAGCUGAUGUCACCCGCUCUCAUCAUCCCGAGGUCCCUAGGAACUAAUAAGAAAGCAAAGAAGGCCUGCUCAGCCUGACAAAGCCAAGAUGAUCCAUCUCAGCAAAGGAGCUUCUCAUGACUUUAGAGGAACCACCACUGUGGAUGAUCUCUUCCAUUCUAUGUUCCCUCCACAGUCUACAAAAUCUUCCUGAGCUUCGCUGGCCCUUCAGACUUAUGGUGUCCUUCCGUAGACCUGCCAGAAGGAUCAACUUGAGAACUGACAAAUCUUCAUUCUGGGACUUUCUACAACCCUUACAACAAGGGUCUCCGUUGACUUACCCGCGGGCCGGGACAGGUCAGGGUACCUGGACAGGCCAAGC